rnacentral:ncRNA from 1 species
UUCACAUGACUGGCGACUAGGGUGGAAGUGACCACCGGGAAGUGUGAACAUGUUAAGCCGCUCGCCUGGGCAUU